rnacentral:rRNA from 1 species
UGAGUAACACGUAUCCAACCUGCCGUCUACUCUUGGCCAGCCCUCUGAAAGGAAGAUUAAUACAAGAUGGCAUCAUGAGUCCACAUGUUCACAUGAUUAAAGGUAUUCCGGUAGACGAUGGGGAUGCGUUCCAUUAGAUAGUAGGCGGGGUAACGGCCCACCUAGUCUUCGAUGGAUAGGGGUUCUGAGAGGAAGGUCCCCCACAUUGGAACUGAGACACGGUCCAA